UACGUAGGGGGCUAGCGUUGUCCGGAAUCAUUGGGCGUAAAGCGCGUGUAGGCGGUUCGGUAAGUCCGCUGUGAAAGUCGGGGCUCAACCCUCGAAUGCCGGUGGAUACUGUCGGGCUAGAGUGCGGAAGAGGCGAGUGGAAUUCCUGGUGUAGCGGUGAAAUGCGUAGAUAUCGGAAGGAACACCAGUGGCGAAAGCGGCUUCCUGGUCCAGCACCGACGUUCAGGCACGAAAGCGU
rnacentral:rRNA from 1 species